GUUUAGCCCCGAUAGAAGUGAAAAUCCUUUUGUACUAGUCCCGAUGGCUAUCGGGAAGUACAAAAGAUUGUAACGGAUAGCGGGACUACGC
rnacentral:sRNA from 1 species